AUGUCAAUCGUGUAUUGGGGUGCAGCUCAUGGUAAAAGGAAAGAUUGGAGAAGUUGGGAUAAGUUAUUGCAACCAAAGAAUAAGGGUGGUGCUGGAUUCCAGGACUUCCGGUUGUUUAACCAAGCUUUACUAGCCCGACAAGCUUGGAGAUUAAUUUCCAACCCGGAUAGUUUGUGUGCCCAUGUGCUCAAAGCAAGAUAUUAUCCUAAUGGAAGACUAGAAGAUACAAUUGUUGCGGGUAAUGCGUCGUCCUCAUGGCAAGCUAUAAGCUAUGAUCUGGAAUUACUAAAAAAGGGGCUGGUAUGGAGAGUUGGUAACGGAAAAGGUAUUCGGAUCUGGAGAGAUAGUUGGAUUCCGAGGCCUCACUCAUAUAAACCCUUCUCCCCACAAGGUAGAUGCAGGAUCGGAUUUUUCUCAGGCAUAUUGAACGAGAAUGGCUCUUGGAAUUAUGCGUUGCUGAUGAAGUUUUUUGCCAUGGCCGAUGUAUCCGAGAUUAUGAAAAUCAAGGCUUCACCAAGUUCAGAGGAUGUGUUAGCUUGGGCGCCUGGAAAGUUUGGUCAGUUUUCUGUCAAAAGUGCUUACGAUUUGGCCUUCGAAGAGGCUCACAGAGAAAGUGUUGUAUCCUCAAAUAGUAUGCUAUCUGGGGCGCGCCCUUGUUGGAGCUAUAUUUGGUCUUGCGAAAUUCCACCCACGGUUCGCAACUUUGGGUGGAGCGUGGCGACUAACUCUCUACCUACUUGGCAGAGGAAGAACAGAAUUGGGAUUGAAACUACUGGAGUUUGCCCAAUAUGUGCAAGAGAAGUCGAGGAUACUUUCCAUCCUUUCAUGGUAUGCCCCGUGGGUCGGCAACUUUACAAAAAGAUGGCAACGGUGUGGAGUUUACCAGAUUUGCAUUCUGUGGUGAACUCUGGGAAAGAAUGGCUCCUUCAGGCUUUGGAACCGUUGGAUCACCUUGCAAGAUGCAAGCUACUAAUGACCCUGUGGAGAUUCUGGUAUGUCCGUAAUGAAAUUAUACACAAUAAACCAACCCCUCCACUUGAUGUCUCUGCUCGAUUUCUUCAGAGUUAUUUGGAUUCAAUUAUUGGUCUCAAACUGAAUUCGGAGGCUGACCCACGCAAAGGAAAAACUAUUAUCACAUAUAACUCAGAUGCCGAUACCUGUUGUGUCCCGGUCGCUGUACCCUGCUGGCAACCUCCUACCCAUGGAAAUGUUAAGCUGAAUACAGAUGGAUCAUUUGUGUCAAUUGGAGAUGCUGGUGCGGGUAUGAUCCUGAGGAAUGAGACAGGAGCUAUUAUCUUUUUGGCAUGCAGGAAAUUACAUUCUUGUCAAGAUGCGUUGGAAGCAGAACUCUAUGCGUGCAAGGAGGGCCUCUCGAUUGCUGUGCAGAGGUGCAAUUCACCUAUUACCAUUGAGAUGGAUUCACUCAAUGUGGUGAACAUGAUCCGUAGUAAGAUGGACGAUCGCUCUAUCUAAGCUCACCUGGUGCAAGGGAUAAAACAGUUAGCUGGUACUGUUAGUGCUUGUAUUACUCACGUCCCCUGCUCUUGUAAUAAAGCUAGUGAUAGGCUGGCCUCUUACGCCAGGACUAGCAAUAGAACGGUGACUUGGUUGGGGUCAGGACCGCUUGAGGUCCCGGACAUUGUUAGUGAGGAUUGUAAAGACAUUAUAUUUGAGUAA
rnacentral:rRNA from 1 species